rnacentral:rRNA from 1 species
UACGGAGGGUGCAAGCGUUAUCCGGAUUCACUGGGUUUAAAGGGGGUGUAGGCGGGCUGUUAAGUCAGUGGUGAAAUCUCCGGGCUCAACCCGGAAACUGCCAUUGAUACUAUCAGUCUUGAAUAUUGUUGAGGUGGGCGGAAUAUGUCAUGUAGCGGUGAAAUGCAUAGAGAUGACAUAGAACACCGAUUGCGAAGGCAGCUCACUAAACAUGUAUUGACGCUGAGGCACGAAAGCGUGGGGAUCAAACAGG